rnacentral:tRNA from 1 species
UCCCUGAUGGCUCAGAUGGUAAAGCAUUUGUCUACAAAGCUGGAGACCCAGGUUUGAUCCCUGGGUGGGGAA